rnacentral:lncRNA from 1 species
AGUCCCUGGAGUUCCCAGCCAAGCCACAGACCUGCCUCUGAGGAAGGGAAUCGAGCAGGGAGUAGGAGGGGACCUCUGGGGACUCGGGCCUGGAGCUCCUGCCUGCCUGGAUGAAGAGGAGGUCAAGACUUUGUCCCCCACUCCGCAAGAUACCCUCUCUGUUCCGGAGCGGUGAGACAGGAUUUCACCAUGUUAGCCAGGAUGGUCUUGAUCUCCUGACCUCAUGAUCUGCCCACCUCGGCCUCCCAAAGUGCUGGGCUUACAGGCGUGAGCCACCGUGCCCGGCCAAAAAUAACUUUUAAAAACAUGAGUAUAGCAUACACACACACAAAAGUCCACAAAUCCUAGGUGUACCACUUGAUGAAUGAUCCCAACGUGAGCACACCUCUGGAUUACCACCUGGAUCAAGAAAUAGGACAUCACAGCAGCUGGCAGCUUCCAAGGAGAAGCUCUGGAAAGUUCUGCCUGUCUCAGCACCUGGCUGGAUCGGAAACGAGUUUUCUUUAACCAGAUUUUUAAUGACUGACUUAUGUGGACAAAUCAUAACUGAAUGAAUCACCUCCUUUGUUGAUUUUUUUGGGUACUUUAUUUGCUAUUAUAAAUGAUGCUGUAAUAAGCACCCUUGAAGAAAUCUUCAUAUCUGCCUCUCCUGUGUAGCAGGUCACAGUGCCUGGGUUUGGUUCUAGCCCUCAUUUGUGAACUGUGUGACUCACCAUGCCUUUUUUCUUUCUGUAAGACAGGAAUAAUGGUAAGAAUUUAAAUGGGGGUAAUAUGGAGCGCGUUUAGUUCAGAGCCUGGUGCAUACAAGCACUCAAUAAGUACUGGCGAUUAUUAGACCUUUAGAUUAAUUUAUUAGAAGUUGGAUUUCUGGUGAAAGGGUUUGAGUGUUUUUGAGGCUUUGGCACAGAAUACCCAGCUGGUCCCAGAAAGGUGGUUCCCAUUUACCUGCCCGAAGGUAAUUCACCCUUACUGAUACUGAGUACUGUUUUCUAAAAGAACAUUAAAAAUUGGAUAGGUUAAAAACAGGUGAAUACAUUUUUUUAGUUGCAUUUUUUUGGUUACCCGUGAGAGUGAACAUGUUGCCAUGUGUUUGCUGACCUCCUAAAUGGUCUAUUUGCUCCUACCUUUGUACCCCAAAAGUCUGCUCUCAAGAUGGUAGCCAGAAUGAUCCUUUUUGAGACAUAAGUCAAAAUUUCACUCUUCUCCUUAAAGCUCUGCAAUGGUUCUCAGGUUAAAAGCCAAAGUCCUGUUCAAGGCCUCCAGGGUCCUCACCACUUGGUCCCUUGCUCUUUCUGUUCUAGCCAACUUGGCCUUCUCCUGCCCCUCCGCCGCACCAUGGCAAUUUCCCCUGCUCUGUGUGGUCAACUACCUGAAUCUGUUCAAAGCUUUGCUCAAAUGUCUCCUUCCUGAUGAGACCUCCCCAGCCCCUGAGCUCCCCAUGCCUCACUCCUGAUCGCCUUACUUAACCCUUCUUUUUCUUUUUUGCCAGUAGUACUUAUCACCGUCUAAAAUACUUCAUAAUUUACUUGUUUAUUGUUUGCCCCUCUCCAAUAGAAUGUAAGCUCCUUGGGGCAGGGACCUUUGUCCUUUGUCUUGUUCACUGCUGUGUCCCAUGUGUAAACUUGUCUGGCACAGAAGAGGUGCUCGAUAAAUAUUUGUUGAGUGAAUGAAUGGUAAAUUUUCUGUUCAUAUUCUUUGACUAUUUUCUAUUGUAAUGUUCAUCUUUUUAGUAUUGGUUUAUAAGAUGUAUAUUUAGCACCUUUUCAUAUAUCACUCUUUGUCACAUAUUAUGCAACUAAUUUGUCAUUUCCAUCAAUUUUUAAAAUACUUUCUUGAUGCUUCAUUUUUAAGCUGUCAGAUUAUUAAUCUUUUCUUUAUGGUCUUGGACUUUAUUGUUGCAUAACCGCUGCCUUCACCAGGAACAUAUAAAUUUUCAAUUAAAUGUUCUUCUGAGAUUUUAUGAUUUCACUUUUUAUAUUAAACUCUUCAUUUUGUCUUCAUGUGUGGUGAGAGGUAAGAACAUAACUUUAAAGCAAAUUAACCAACUAUCCCCAAAUGAAUUAUAAAUAAAUUAAUCAUUUUCCAAUGAUCUGAAAGGCCAUUUUAUCAUACACUAAAUAUUUUUGUGUGUUUGACUGGGUUUACCGUUCUGUUCCGUUGGCCUAUCACAUCGUUCUUACAUUGGUAUUUGUUGCCCUAUUUUAAUGAUUGUAACUUUUUAAUAAGGGUUAAUGACUGAGAAUACAAGUCCCAUUGUUUUGUUUUAUUAUUUUUAUUAUUUUUUUGAGACAGGGUUUCACUCUGUCACCCAGGCUGGAGUAUAGUAGCACUAUCUCGGCUCAUUGCAACCUCUGCCUCCCUGGUUCAAGUGAUUCUCCCACCUCAACCUCCCGAGUAGCUGGGACUACAGAUGCAUGCCACCACACCCAGCUAAUUCUUGUAUUUUUAGUAGAGACAGGGUUUCACCAUGUUGACCAGGCUGGUCUUGAACUCCUGGCUUCAAGUGAUUCACCUGCCUCGACCUCCCAAAGUGCUGGGAUUACAGGCGUGACUCACCACGCCUGGCCCAUUUUUUUCUUUUGAGGUGUUCUUUGUGGCAAUUCAUAUAUUCUUUAAGAUAAAUUCUAAACUUUUUUUUUCUGCCGAGAUAAACUAGCAGACAAAUCCCACUGGACAUUGCAAUUGGAUUAGUUUUGUAGAUUAAUUUAGUGAUAAUCAACUUCUUUGCACCAUUGAGUGCUUCUGUCCGGGAACGUGGCAUAUCUUUCUAUUAUUAAGGUCUUUUUUAUUAUAGGUCUUUAGGGAAGCUUUAUUUUAUAGAUGAAUGUAGUGUGUUUGGUGCUUAUUUUCAUAAAAUAAAGCAAUGACAUCUGUGGCAGGCAGCUUCUGAAAUGGCUCCCAAUGAUCCUUACCUUCUGAUAGUCACCCCCUUGGAGAAUCCCUUUCCUUUGUGUGUGGGCUGGAUCUAGUGACUUGCUUCUCAUAAAUAGAAUAUGGCAAAAAAUGAUGGGUUGUUACUUCUGAGAUUAGGUUAUAAGAGGCGAAUUUCUGUUUUGCUGUAAUUUUGUCUCUCUAACCCUCUUGCUUUCCUGUGCUCAUGAAACCAGCUGCUGUGUUGUGAGCCACCUUAUGGAAAACCCAUGUGGCAGAGAACCGAGGGUGGUGGCUGGCCAACAGCAAGCCAGGAGCUGAGGCCCACAGUCCAACAACUGGUGAGGAACCACAUGCUGCCAGCAGCCAUGUGAGGGAACUUAGAAGCAAAUCCUUCCCCAGUUGAGCCUUCAGAUGACACCAGAGCCUUGGCUGACCCCUUACUUUUACCCUUGUAAGAGACUUUGAGCCAGAAGACUUGGCUAAACCACACCUGGAUUCCUGACCCACAGAAACUUGAAAUAAUAAAUGUGUUGUUUUAAGU